rnacentral:lncRNA from 1 species
ACACAGACACACACGCACACACACACAUGCACACAUUUUCUCGCGCUCUCUCCGGCUCUCCUUUGUUUAUUUUCUAAUCUAUAUUUUUACUGGAAGAUUUCCUCUUUAUUCUCUCCCGCCCUCCUACAAGCGCUCUUGCUGGCCGUCUGGGUGCACACACCGCUCCCUCGAUCACCCCAGCCCCCUUCCUGGUCUCCCGAGCGCGGGGUUUGAAGGUCACCUCCUUUCCAGUCCCCGUGCGAGCCGCGCUGCCGCCGCCUCCUCCAGCCAGAGUCGGUGGGACUGGCUGCGCUGCCCUGAAGUGGUUCUCCAAGCAGCGCGGAGGGUGGCGGACGGCGGACGGAGCCCAGGGGCCGCGUCGGGUGGGGAAACCCGAACUCGCGGAGGGGAAUCCCUCCCCCUCCGCCCCAGCCCCCCAGCAGCACCCGCGGUGGGGCGGGGGCGCUCUGCCAGCCCCGGGAACAGCAGAGGCGGCGGCACUGGCUGGACCCACGCGCGCGCCUCCGGGGCUGAAGAAGGAAGGAGUGAGCCGAGCCGAGCACCCCACAUCUGGAGGGGACAGCCAGCCGUGGGCCCCGCCCCGGCGUCCGGAGCAGGAGAACUCCGAGCUUCUUGCCCAGGCAGAGAGAGCAGGAGCGGACCGCGCGCCCGGGAUUGAGAGUCCUUGCGCUCCAGACCCCCACCCAGUGGCCGCCAGGGUCCCCGCCUGUCCGGACCCUCGCCGCGCCCAGGCAGGCGCGCCAGGGCGGGGCUGACCUGCCCGCGAAGUUGCGGACAGUGCGUGAGAAACCAGCACCCCCUUCCGCCGCCUCCAGCUUAUGGAAACUGGUCAAAGAACUCAUGCAAGUGGAACUUACAGCUUCCUUGAUCGGACUCAGCAUUCAGAAUUAAAAAGCAUCCCUCAAAUUGACAAGAAAAUUGGAUAAUAAAUUAACCAUUUACAGUUUGGUAAAUAUAUGCACAACUGAAGUUCCACGUCAUGGGCCAUAUUUUUAUCAGACGCAACACCAGAUGAAGGAUAAACCAUAUGACCCACCCUCUUCUGCCAUGAAUGAACAAUGGACUGAAGUCUUUCAUAAUUGCUUGUUUCAAGAUGCUCACUAAAUCAGACAAGGAACUCCUGUCUUGUGUCUUUAAGGGAGGUUGAACAAUAGGCUGGGACACUGGAGUAAAUGGGGCACUCUGCCAUACUUACACUUUCCUUUGAAAUUUGUGUUUGGGAGGCUUUAACUAUGAGUAUAUUUUGCAGCCAAAUGCAGUUAGCUUUUUGACUAAUGGAGCUGGUGUGAAUUUUACCCCUCCAUCUGUAGAUGCUGAAAUGUCACAUUAUUUCAUUUUUCUAAAACAAAUUAAAUGACUCUGAGCAUCCAGUCAUUAGGGUUUUAAGAAACUCAAUCACAACUAUGAGUAUAGGGAAUGGGGAUGAACAGUAUCCCUUUCCCAUAUGCUAGAUAGACAGUCACCUGUGGAGCUUAGCAGUGCUUCGGAUACAGGGAAGGACAGCUGGUCUUUGAGAUAUUGUGGGCAUUUGGGUGUUAGGAUUCUUAUUACUUAAACCUGCCCAGUCCCUAUAAAAAGGGACCGCUUUGCAAAUUCUGAUCCAUGCAUGGAACAGGAAAUCUUUCUUAAUAUUUAGCUGCUUCAUGCAUUCAAAUCCUUGAAGACCCCCCACAUGCCCUGCACCCUUCUCAGUUCCCUUUCAAUCUUGGGGUAUCUCCCCUUUCUGAGAAUUCACUGCUGUUGCUGACCUCCUCCCACUCAUUUCCUUCCAUCUUCUCUUACUUUCUUAAUACCCCACAUUAUCUCUGCUGACUGUGUCUUUAGACACACAACACUUUUCUUUAAGGAAAGGCAAGGCUGUGUGUUCCUUACCUCAUCAUGUUAUGUUAGAGGUCCAAAUGUUUUAUGGGUGACCAAUUAAUUCAUCAUGUCAUCUGGAUGACUGUUGAAAGCAAAAGCGGGAUCAUUGUAAGAACUGUGUCAGGAAACCAGCAAAACCAGCCCUGUCCCAGGCAAACUGGGAAUUAUGAUCUCUCUCUGGAAGGAAAGAAGAAGAAAAGUGGGAGAGGUAGGCUGUUCUUUUUCCAACAAGAAUCUUGGAAGGCGUUUUCAUUUUGGAAACUGUUUAGAAGACUAUACUAAAUUGUUACUCCUUAUUACCAACAUGCAUAGCAUCCUGCAAUGCAGACAUCCAUGACUGUGCAUCUCCACUGCUUCAAACAGGGCACUAGUGUUCCAAGCUUUGUGUUUCUAUUGCCAGCCCUGAAUGCAAAAAUAUGGGAUCCUGAGUUCAAAUCGGGCUCAGAAGUUGACAUAUUGUUUGACCUUGAGCAAUCUGCUUAAUUUCAUAGUGUUUGUUUGCUCAUCUGAAAACAAAAGGGAUAAUGCUGAUCGAGGCAUAUUGUGGAGAUUAAUUAGUUUCUGAAGUGCUGAGAUCCACAGAUGAAAGGCUUUAAGUGGAAAUUAUUUUGUUUUUAAAGGAAUAAUCGAUGCAUGUGAAUAAAAGAGAACUAACUGAACUGAAUUACAGGCACUUGGCUGCUGGUGGGAGUGGGGGAAGAAAGAAUAUUGCUUCUUGCAAAGAACCUUAAAUUUACCCCCCAGAAUAGCAGUGGGAAAAUUGCUUUUUUUUUGUGAUUCUGAAAGGAUGAGAAAUUAUGCAAAAGAAACGAGCUAGAAUAAGAGGAGAAUAUAUGCAGUUAAGACAUAUUUCAAAGUAACUUUCCUGGAUAAACAACUAGGUAUCUAAUAUAUAUAUUAUGUGUAUUAGAUAUAUAUAUGAUAUAUAUGAUAUAUUAAUGUAUUAGAUAAUGUGUGUGUGUGUAAGUAUGUAUAUACUCCACCAGUCCUCUGUGAUUAGGUUCUUAGCCAAAUGCUUGUCUACCAAAACAGCUCAGCCACGAUCCCCAAGGAGCCUUAAUGACCCCUAAGUCCUUGGUGAAAAGAUCAGUUUGGGAAGGAGAAACUAACUGUUUAAAAAUCUCACAGCUGUGUAUCGUGGUGAGAAAACUAGCACUAUUAAGCGUGUUACUGUUUAAAACCACUUUUGCUCUUGUUACAUUUGGUCUUCUCUCCAAUAAAUAUUAUUAUUGCCCUUGAUGUACAGAUAGGAAAAUGAUAAUCAGGGAAAUUAAAUGGCUGGCCAAUGGCCAUUUGUUUGGUUAGGUGGUAUAGGCAAUAUUCUGACCUCAACAUUAUGACUCACAAGACUCUGACCAUGUCACUGUCACCGAAGGGUUUGCUAAAGAUAUGGUGACAUUCAGCUGGCAUGUGGAAAUGAAUUAUUGUCUAAGGACUACAGAAGAAUUGGAAUGAAGACAGGAUUUUUUUUGUCAAAGAAAAUAAAAAGUUCUGACCAUUAAACGAAUGCGUUUUUGUCAUAGACGUGGUGGAAAAUGCCAACAAAGUCAGAUUUCAAAAUUGGCUCAAAGUCUCCUGAGUCAAAUGAAAACUCUGUCAAAGCCAUGUUAUACUUCUUCUUAGUCUUUUAUCCAUGCAUUUUAAUAAUAUAGUUAUGGUCAUGUUAUCCCAAAUUCUUUUCAAAUGUUGUUUUAAUGGCUCUGUAACUUUCUACCUUGUGACUAUUGCAUGGUUGUUUUGACCUUUUUCUCAUUUUUUGUAGAUAUUUAAGUUCUUACUUUUUUUUUACUUUUAUAAUUAGCUCUGUAAUGAGCUUUUUGUGUGAAAAAACAUAUAAUUAUAUACAGAGUUAUUACCUUACUACAGAUUCAUAACAUUUGGAUUAUUGCAUCUUGGGAAAUAAAUAUUGUAGUGUUCCUUGUGUAUAUAUCAAGUUUAUAUCAAUACCAUCUAUAUACUUAUAUAUCAGAUUUUAUAAAUUAAAUGUGCAAUUUAUUGUGUAC